rfam:Aedes albopictus isolate Foshan contig104913, whole genome shotgun sequence.
UGUUCUGUGGCUCAAUUGGUUGAAGCGCCGGUCUAGCGAAUACGGAAUCAUGGUUUCGAAUCCCAUCAGAACGC